AGAGUUUGAUCCUGGCUCAGGACGAACGCUGGCGGCGUGCCUAAUACAUGCAAGUCGAGCGAAGUUAUAAAGGUGCUUGCACCGAUAUAACUUAGCGGCGGACGGGUGAGUAACACGUAGGCAACCUGCCCGUAAGAUCGGGAUAACUAGCGGAAACGUUAGCUAAUACCGGAUAAUUUACUUCAUCGCAUGAAGGAGUA
rnacentral:rRNA from 1 species